rnacentral:rRNA from 1 species
GACGAACGCUGGCGGCGUGCUUAACACAUGCAAGUCGAACGAUGAAGCCGGAGCUUGCUCCGGUGGAUUAGUGGCGAACGGGUGAGUAACACGUGAGCAAUCUGCCCUUGACUCUGGGAUAACUGCGGGAAACUGUAGCUAAUACCGGAUACGACAACUUGGGGCAUCCCAGGGUGUGGAAAGAAUUUCGGUCAAGGAUGAGCUCGCGGCCUAUCAGCUAGUUGGUGAGGUAAUGGCUCACCAAGGCGACGACGGGUAGCCGGCCUGAGAGGGUGACCGGCCACACUGGAACUGAGACACGGUCCAGACUCCUACGGGAGGCAGCAGUGGGGAAUAUUGCACAAUGGGCGAAAGCCUGAUGCAGCAACGCCGCGUGAGGGAUGAAGGCCUUCGGGUUGUAAACCUCUUUUAGCAGGGAAGAAGCGAAAGUGACGGUACCUGCAAAAAAAGCACCGGCUAACUACGUGCCAGCCGCCGCAGUAA